rnacentral:lncRNA from 1 species
AGGAGGAGGGGGGCUGGAUGCCACAGCCUUCCAGUAACUGUCUCUCCUCCAAAAUAUCACUUUUGCUUUCUUUGAAGAAAAGAAAGAAAUUAUAUUUAAAAAAAAAAAAACAAACCAACACAAGGAACUGCCCCAAUGUGUUUGCCUUGACAAUAACUGUACAUCUGCAACAGUUUAUCACUAUGGGAAAAUGAGUGGGUAAUAAAGUUUUGAUGUCGGCUGUUGCAUGUACAGAGGUAUCACAGGCUUUGAAAAUGAUUUGUUAUGUGAAUGCCCAUAGUAGCACCGAGGUUCAAAGGGAGGUGGUUUGUUUUUCGUGCCCAUUUAGUUAUGAAUAACACCAGCUCUAAUUUCCUCCUCCCACCAGCAAGCAGAGAGUCCUGCAUUGGAAGCCAAAUAUAGCAACAAAGAUUUCUAUCUCUGGCCAAAACCAAAAAAUCUGUUCCCUUUUAAGAAUAGCACUCUAUUCUUUUCUGAUGGAGAUGGAGAAAAAGAAAAUUCCACUUUAAGGAAGCCAGUUUCUCAGUGGGAAACUCCCUGGUCUCUCUCAAAUGGCCAGUGUAAAAGGUAUGCACUUAUUUUUUGGCAUCUCUGUGGAAGUCAAUGAGGAGGCUUCUGUAGAAUGCCAUCAGUAUAGUCCUUCUGGGGCUGCAGUCUGAAUAAAUCUUCCCUACUUGCUGGUGUGUUUUUCCUGCACUGCCCCACUGCUGUCUUGUGAGCAACAGGGCCCAUGCUGAAUGGGAAUGCCACAAAUUGUUCAAUACCCCUGCUCGCUCUGCACCCUUUUCUUUCUGGUUUUCUUUUGUGGAGAAGUGAAUCCCUUGGCUCUGAGGGACAGACCCCUGCUCCACCUGACAAGGCAGCUUGGUGAGGUAAUGGGGAGCAGCAGUCCAUUAUCCCUCCUACCCCUUGGUUUUCUAAUUGGGGGAGGAUGUGGGAAGUCAUCCCUGUGCUCCUUCCCGAGACUUCCCAGCUGCGUUGUGCCCCAGAGAGUGAUUGUGGGCAGCGGGGCUGCCCAGGCUGGGUGGGCUGGGAGAGAUGGAUGCUGUAAAAAGAAAAAACAGAAACGUUUGUGGUAAAGCUCUUCCUCAGGUGAUGAUCUGACCUUUUCUGGGUGGGAGUUGAUACCCUCUGAAGAUGAGCGUGCAUGUGGGUGUCACUGCCUGUUUGUAAGCUAGGAUAUGCUUUUAGGAAGAGGCACACACCUACACCCACACGCCCUUUCUGAUCUUGAACUCGGAUUUUUUAAACUUCUCUACACCAUCCGAGGAGGGCUAUUCAGCCUUUCCUUCGAAGGACUUAUUCCCAUUCCAGCCCACCCCCACCACCCACCCAUAAGCAACUGCCAUGUGUGACAUGUGAGCAGAAAAUGCCCUUUCUCUCAUGUAGCAGCUGUCCUUGUUUUAGAAGUGUUGCUUCAUUCAUUUGCAGACUGUUUGGCUGAAGGCCUUUGCUGUAAGGUGAAUGCUGAAGGAUUAGAGUUAGCUCUUCCUGAUUUGGAAAACUCUGACUUCUUUUUCUUUUUUUUUUUUUUUCCCUUUUUUUUUUUUUUGAGCCUUGGACCCCUAAUGCAUUUUAAAAACAAUGCAGGGAAGUGUCAUCCAGUAAAUAUAUUUGCACUGGAUCUGUUUUACCAGACGUGUUUCUGAUGGAGUUUUAAAUAAACACAAGGAUGUUUGGAAAUAUCUUGUGGAUGUAAAUAUGUAAAAUAUGCAAAACAAAGCUGACAGCUGUGGGGUGUACUCAUUGCUCACGUGAGAAGGCUUUGUGUAAUGUUUUUUUCCAUCAUCCUGUCUUUUUUUUUUUUUUUUUUUUUAAGCAUCUGUGUCUGUUCCAAGAUAAUCUGUGAUUCCCUCUGGACAGAGAGGGAGGCGGCUGGAAGGGCCGGAGCGAUUCUCCUGAAGUGUGUCUGUGAAGAGCCUCCUGGUGAUGGUGGAACUGCUUUCCACGGAGCACCUGGGUGCAGCACACGGAAUCCCUCCUGGCUGGAGCUGGGACAGUGCUGGCUCUGGCUGAAGUUGGCCCUUCGGGAGGGGCAGUGGGAGAGCAGAGCUGUCCUUGGGCAGUGCCACGCAAGGAGCGUGACAGCAGCGUUAGUCACCAGCGCACGGAGCUCCGUUGCCUCAGCUGAGUCUGUUGCUUAGGAGAGGACGAGUUUUGCAACCUCAGUUUAGCCUCUCUUUAGCCAGGGAGAUCUGAAGCCUACAUCCCCAUGUCAGGCAUAGGGAGCACUACAGUGAGAAGGGAAAAAUAAAAUCACCAAAACCCUUAACAUUUUUUUUUUUUAAUUGAGCGUUAUGCUGCUUUUUUAGACACCCUUCCAGAGGGUAAUUAAUCCUCUAUGCAUAGUAACUGUACCACUUCCAAGUUCUACAGGAUAUUUGGUGUGACUUAGCCACCUGUUGUUUUUACUGAUUUUUUUCCACCUCUUUCCUUGCUCUUGUUUUCCAGUCCCACUGCUUUAAGGGCAGUGUUCCAAAGUCCUGGCUGUCUGCCAGUGUGGAUGUCCAGGCCCAUGGGGCAGCAGCUCUUGGUUACACUUCUGUGUGCACACUGAGUUUGUCCUGUCCAUCAACUGGGACAUUUGGAUGUGCAAAUGUCCAAAGGUGCAGAACAAGUGCAAGCUCCUUCUGUUUGCUUGGAGGUUUCAGUCACGCUUGGCAGGAGCAGCAGCCUGGUUGAAGGACAAAGUGGAAGUACAGCAGCUCAGGAGACCUUCUGGCUCCCUCAGGAAAAGUCUGGUUUAUUCUGUCCAGGGAAAUGGCUUAAGUGCAUCAGAUUUGCUGCUGCUCGUUCUCCUUGCUCCCAGGCAGUCUUCUUUGCCUUGCUGUCACUGACAUUUCUCUGUGAACAUCCUUGAGGAGAUCUGUGUGAGAUCCAGCACUGAACCUCAACAUCACCUGACCUGUGUUGUAAUGUCACCUUUCCUGUGUUCCCAUCACUGUGGGGAUAGACACUCUGGCAAUCUGUAGCAAUUUGCAAUCCUUUAAUGCUACAUUCUCCUACUUCACAGAGUUCUCAAGUGAACUCAUUUCCUUGGCUCUUACCCCACAUAAAAUCUUGCAGUGACUGCAUAUAUUCCAUCAUACUCCAGUUUCACCUGGAAAUGACCAGAAAUCGCCAUCAGUCUGGAUGAUGCAGCAGAGUCUUUGAAGUCACUGUUAAAGCCUGUGGCUCAAAAAAAUGUGACCGCUUUGUGGCUCAUAUGUGGCCAGGUUUUCUGUACUCACCUUUGAUGGAGAAAUAAUUGCUUUCUACAUGAAGGUAGACACCAAAAGACCAGAAUACCUUACUUGUGCCAGAUUUGGAUGACCCAAACAGAGGCAGAAACACUCAAGAAUGGGACACUGAACUUCUUUCUUUCCUCUUCCAUCCAAUGCCUGCAUGUUGUGCUGCACAUCAAGACAUGGCAUUUCAUUCUUCACCUCAGAUCCCUGGGCAGGAAGGAAUUUCUUUUAGUUGCUUUGUGUCUGUGAUACUUUGCAGUGUGUACUGGUCCUGUCAAACAGGCACUGGAACCAGUUGGACAGUGCCUGACCAGCAAAACCUUGAUGUUCUUUGUGGACAAACUCAUCAUUCGCAGUGGGCACUUGAAAAACAGUGUUUAUGGUGAGGGAAAUUGAUAACAAACUGGGAAUCAUAUCAGUUUUUAAAUUUGGAUUUGAAACAUAGAGAAACUUUACAUCGAAAGUAUUCCCCAAGCUUCAGAUCUGUGCCUUCAGAAAUUCCCUUCUAAUAGUUUGGGCUGUAUUUCUGUGGUUCUUAACAAAGGUUCUCCCUAAAGUGAAGGAGAGGAUGCAGCUGUCAUCCAUGACAGACAUUGCUAAUUAUUUUUCAUUUUGCUGUUUGCUAGUUUGCAGAGGUUUGAGAGGAAGUAUAGAGAAUCCAGAUAAAACCUCCAGUUCUCCUGUGCACAGUUUUAAUUCACCAUUACAAAGGCUCUUAUGCAAAUCUUAGACCUGAGAUUUCAUAUUUUCUUUAUAUGAAAUCAGUAAUCAUUGUAAUUUCAUUUCAGCUGGAAUAUUAUUUUCCCUUUUUUUUUCUUUUCUGUUUGAUGGGUCAGAUUUAAACCAUCUGCAGGCAGAUGGAAAGGAAAAGUGGAAUUAUUGUUUUCACCAAAAAAUUUUGCAGCUGUCAGGGUGUGUUUGACACAAGCCUGAUGGCUGAAAACAGAGACAGGACACGUUGUCCCGGCUGGAUAUCAGAGAGCACAAGAACUCUUCAUGGCCAACUCUUACUUGGAGAACUUGGGGCUAAACGAGGUAAACAAGGUCAUUAUUUAGCCAUACUCAAGGGCUUUUCAGAGAGAAUUAUUCACUGAAUUAUGUACUGCUUCUGCUGGGCUUCAGUGAGACUCUUGGUCGGGUUUUGGCCUGAGGGGGUGGCUCUCCAGCUGACAGUCACAAUGUCGCAUUGACAGCGUUUGUCACUGUCACACCGCAUGGCAGGGGCUGCAGCCAUCGCUCCCAGUACCUGUCAGGAGAUAUUGCUUUUAUAAUCUGGGUUAAUUUAUGGCCCCAUCAUUAAUAACCACAGCUGAUGAAAAAGGGCUGGAAGCAGAGCUUUUUAGGAGGGACACCAGGAGCUGUGACUCAACCCCUCCCAGCAGGGAUGGGAUUGUUGCUUCAUGUCCAACACUAGUGGCUUCUCAGGGAUACGAACACUACUACUGCUUUUUGAAGCAGUCUUUCCCACAGGAUUCAGCCUGUGAGAGCUGGAUCCACCAGUGCGAGCUUGUGCACCUUGCUGCUGGUGCUCUUGUUAGUCUUUGUAAGAGUGGCCAUUCCUUCUGUUUGCACCAAGCUGGGAAUCUUCAGGAACCAUAAAUAAGUUUCCAAAGUGGUCUAAAACUCAAAUCUUCUUAUGCAUAUACCAGUAUAUUUGCAUGAAGAGUGCAAUUCUUUGUUGUCAAUGUCAAGUUUAUGACUGCUAGGCCUUCAUGAUAUCUGCUAUUUUCCAUUUAAUGAGAGAUUUCUGCUGGGGUGGUGUAUGUUGGUUUGUUGUUUGGGGUUUUUCAAUGUUGGCAUAAGCAACAUGGGCUAAGACAGUU